CCCAGGAAUAUGAUUAAUUCCAUACUUUAUAAGUAAACUUCCCAGCUCCGUAUCCAUCUGCAAAUAUUCAGAGUGAUGUGCUCAAUACAUUCCUUUCUGUUCUACAACCGCAUUUCUUUGUGAAUUUAACCACAUCAGAAAGCACUUCAGAUUUCCAACACAAAUAUUCAAUGCAUUUAAUGUAAGGAAGCUUCCUUUAUUGGAGGUGAUUUGGAACAUUUUGUAUUUUAUAGGUGUAUUUAAGAGGUUAGCAGUAGGGGGGAAUCGUCUGUGGAAAAUCUGUCUACAGCUGAAAUUCUUAGAUGCAGAAGUGUUGCUGAAAUGCCUGAUACAUUUACAUUCUUUUGUUAAGUGGCUUACAGGACUAUCCUCUUAGCUACCAGAUACCCAGAAUUUUUUUUUUAAGGUCAAAUAACAUUUCUCCCUUUUUUCUUAUUUGUUAUUUUCAGGACAAUAUACUUGGACUGGGGUUUUGUGUGCCAUUAGAAGAUUUCCAUUUUUGCUGGCUUUUUUACUUUUUUAAUCCACAAUUUUGUUGUUCUUUUCAAUAAUCUUCUGCAACUUUCUUUCAUCUUUAGUGCAUGCAAAGAAGCCCCUUAUUGGCUAGUACAUUACUGAUAAUGAUUUACAAAUUUUCCCAGAUUAAUUUUCCAUGGGAUUAUUUUUUCCCCAAUAUAACAUAGCUCCAAUUAAAAAAAAAAAGAAUGCCAAAGGUUAAGGCAUUUUAUAAUACAAUUUGGAAAUGAAUUUUUGAAGUAGUUGUGUUUGUAUUUUAAAUUUAGAAUCUGUUUAUACUUCAGCAUCAGAAAAACAAUGUGUAGAAUUUAAAAAUUAGCAGUCUGGUGCUUUCCAGAUAUUGAAAUGUGCCUUCCUAAUGAAGGCAGAAGACUUGCUCACUAGAUUUAUUUUAAAGCAGUGCUUUUAGAUAGUCAUAAAUUUAAAUGGCAGUUUUCAACUGGAUGCUUAUUACUAUUUUAUUUGAUAUUUGCAAGAUACCUGACCGUUUAAUAUUUAUCCUUUAUUUCUCUGAGCUGAUCUAAUUGCGCCUCUCUAUUUUGCAUUUAUUUCUCUUUGCAAACACUACAUUAUUCACUCUCUCCUGUGCUUAUUAAACAGUGCCACCUGCACCAAAUGAAACAAAGCUUCUCCAUCAAUCUAUCCCAGCUAAAGAACCCUGACUAUAUAUUAUAAUUAAUUGAAGCUCAAUUGAACACUUGAAUCUGAACUAGAUACAGUAACCUGAAAAAACAUUAAAAAAUUAGGAUGUACUUUAAAGAAAUCUUUUAAAUGAAAAUGUUCACUCAAAACCGAGAACCUAACCUUGCACCAAGCACUCUUCAUCAGCUCCGCACGGUACCUCAAGUAGCAAUUAGCAGGUCCUUUAAUUAAUUAACUAUUCCCUGUACAUCACAGGGAUUUUUGUGGCACUAACGUCAUCCUCCAUAAGUGAAUACCAAAUCCAGUCAAUAUUUUGUCACUCCAAACCCUUCUCUGGACUACCUGAAUGCCACCGGCGGGCUCUGCAGCCCUUCCCAGCGCAGGAGCAGAUUAGGUGGAAGAUGAGGGCAGCCUCCUUUAAAGCUCCAUCUAACAGAAGAGAAAGAGAAAGAGAAGAGAUGCAGAGAGAGCCCCAGGAUGUGGAAAGUCAUGAAAAUACCUACCCUGGAGACAGUAUUCCCAUAGGAUCCUUUUCAUACAAAUUCCAACUUGCCUAAUGCCCUUAAUGAAUGAAAUAAAAAGAGAAUUCAGAAAGGCCCA